rnacentral:rRNA from 1 species
UUGAACGCUGGCGGCAGGCCCAACACAUGCAAGUCGCGCGGAUGAAGGGAGCUUGCUCCUGGAUUCAGCGGCGGACGGGUGAGUAAUGCCUAGGAAUCUGCCUGGUAGUGGGGGAUAACGUCCGGAAACGGGCGCUAAUACCGCAUACGUCCUGAGGGAGAAAGUGGGGGAUCUUCGGACCUCACGCUAUCAGAUGAGCCUAGGUCGGAUUAGCUAGUUGGUGGGGUAAAGGCCUACCAAGGCGACGAUCCGUAACUGGUCUGAGAGGAUGAUCAGUCACACUGGAACUGAGACACGGUCCAGACUCCUACGGGAGGCAGCAGUGGGGAAUAUUGGACAAUGGGCGAAAGCCUGAUCCAGCCAUGCCGCGUGUGUGAAGAAGGUCUUCGGAUUGUAAAGCACUUUAAGUUGGGAGGAAGGGCAGUAAGUUAAUACCUUGCUGUUUUGACGUUACCAACAGAAUAAGCACCGGCUAACUUCGUG